GUUGCUAUUUAAUUUAAUAAACGAGGUAGGGUAACAGGUGGUGAUUGGUUUUGCCAACAUUUAUGUUAUCUUAGGCCUAUCCCACACAUAGAAGUCGCGUGAAAGUCGGGGCAUCCUGGAAAUUCCUUCCGUUUCUCCAAAUUUCGGAGUUGCUCCAUAGAUUGCGUUGACGAACAAUGAUAAUAGUAGGUUGACGUCACAGGCCCGGGGCUAUUGAAUUCUCUUCCAAAGUAAAAAGGUUUACUGCUAUAUCGCAUAAGAGUAAUUCAAUAAAAAGAUCGCCAUCUGUCCCAUUCGGAACAACGUUUAUGAUCAAAUGUCUGAAGAUUGAAUUCAUUUGUAGAAACAAAAAGCUUCAUAUGUGCAGUGCUGGGCAUAGGAAUAAUAAUUAAAAUAAACGAGCUUCAAUCACUGUUUUAGUUCUUAAAUUAUUCGGAGUAAAGAGUGUUCUGGAUGGAAUCAAAAUGAAACUCUUAUACGAAAUUUCCAGUAAUGAACUUAUUACAUCCAGUUUUGACAUUCUGUUUUUCGCACUUUGGAUUGGAACCCAGUUUGUCCGUCUCCCCCUUAUCACCUCUCCACCAGUUGUGUUCAUUUCUGAAACACCACCACUCUGGUUUCCAACAAACACAGACAGAGAGUCACAGCAGCGUGCAUAUGGUUAACAACGUCGUGUGAUAAUGGAAUUGUCCAGUCGUUUAGACGUAUUGG